UACGUAGGUGGCAAGCGUUGUCCGGAAUCACUGGGUGUAAAGGGCGUGUAGGCGGGUAUGCAAGUCAGAUGUGAAAGACCGGGGCUCAACUCCGGGGCUGCAUUUGAAACUGUGUAUCUUGAGUGCAGGAGAGGAAAGCGGAAUUCCUAGUGUAGCGGUGAAAUGCGUAGAUAUUAGGAGGAACACCAGUGGCGAAGGCGGCUUUCUGGACUGUAACUGACGCUGAGGCGCGAAAGCGUGGGUAGCGAACAGG
rnacentral:rRNA from 1 species